rnacentral:rRNA from 1 species
AUUGAACGCUGGCGGCAGGCUUAACACAUGCAAGUCGAGCGGGGGAAGGUAGCCUGCUACUGGACCUAGCGGCGGACGGGUGAGUGAUGCUUAGGAAUCUGCCUAUUAGUGGGGGACAACAUCUCGAAAGGGAUGCUAAUACCGCAUACGUCCUACGGGAGAAAGCAGGGGAUCUUCGUACCUUGCGCUAAUAGAUGAGCCUAGGUCGGAUUAGCUAGUUGGUGGGGUAAAGGCCUACCAAGGCGACGAUCUGUAGCGGGUCUGAGAGGAUGAUCCGCCACACUGGGACUGAGACACGGCCCAGAAUCCUACGGGAGGCAGCAGUGGGGAAUAUUGGACAAUGGGGGGAACCCUGAUCCAGCCAUGCCGCGUGUGUGAAGAAGGCCUUAUGGUUGUAAAGCACGUUAAGCGAGGAGGAGGCUACUCUAGUUAAUACCUAGGGAUAGUGGACGUUACUCGCAGAAUAAGCACCGGCUAACUCUGUGCCAGCCGCCGCGGUAACAC